rnacentral:tRNA from 1 species
AACCGCAUAGUCCAACAGGAAGGAGACAACAGCCUUAAACCCUGUCCAGUCCGGGUUCGAAUCCCGGUGCGGUUA